rnacentral:rRNA from 1 species
UUGGAGGGCAAGUCUGGUGCCAGCAGCCGCGGUAAUUCCAGCUCCAAUAGCGUAUAUUAAAGUUGUUGCAGUUAAAAAGCUCGUAGUUGAAUUUCGGGGUUCUUCCGUUGGUCAGGCUAACAAGUCUGUACUAGCGUGUAGAAUUCCUACCUUCUGGGGAACCAUCAUGUUAUUAAUUUAGCGUGGUGGGAAACCAGGACCUUUACCUUGAAAAAAUUAGAGUGUUCAAAGCAGGCUUACGUCUGAAUACAUUAGCAUGGAAUAAUAAAAUAGGACGGUGGUCCUGUUUUGUUGGUUUCUGAAUCACCGCAAUGAUUAAUAGGGAUAGUUGGGGGCAUUAGUAUUCAAUUGUCAGAGGUGAAAUUCUUGGAUUUAUUGAAGACUAACUUCUGCGAAAGCAUUUGCCAAGGAUGUUUUCAUUAAUCAAGAACGAAAGUUAGGGGAUCGAAGACGAUCAGAUACCGUCGUAGUCUUAACCAUAAACUAUGCCGACUAGGGAUCGGACGAUGUUAAAUUUUAUUGACUCGUUCGGCGCCUUACGGGAAACCAAAGUGUUUGGGUUC